AGUGAACGCUGGCGGUAGGCCUAACACAUGCAAGUCGAACGGCAGCACAGUAAGAGCUUGCUCUUACGGGUGGCGAGUGGCGGACGGGUGAGGAAUACAUCGGAAUCUACUUUUUCGUGGGGGAUAACGUAGGGAAACUUACGCUAAUACCGCAUACGACCUACGGGUUAAAGCAGUGGAUCUUCGGACCUUGCGCGAUUGAAUGAGCCGAUGUCGGAUUAGCUAGUUGGCGGGGUAAAGGCCCACCAAGGCGACGAUCCGUAGCUGGUCUGAGAGGAUGAUCAGCCACACUGGAACUGAGACACGGUCCAGACUCCUACGGGAGGCAGCAGUGGGGAAUAUUGGACAAUGGGCGCAAGCCUGAUCCAGCCAUACCGCGUGGGUGAAGAAGGCCUUCGGGUUGUAAAGCCCUUUUGUUGGGAAAGAAAAGAAGCAGGUUAAUACCCCGAUGUUCUGACGGUACCCAAAGAAUAAGCACCGGCUAACUUCGUG
rnacentral:rRNA from 1 species